ensembl:lncRNA
CUUGAUCGGAAAGCAUGGUACUCGCACUCGUCUUCAUAAUUGCGUCUCCUCUGGUUUCAAGUUGGCCUUUGAAAGCAUCGUUGUUUUAGGGGGGAGGGCAGGGGGAGAGGAGGAGAGGCUGGGGUCAGUGGGGGCCAUUGGACUAUGCCAGGUGAGCUAGGGAUCAAUACACGCUGGGUAAUGGUUCUGCUGGGGGCAUCUAAAACAGUGUUGGAGGGGGAGCAGGUUCUGCUAGUCGGGAGAGUGGUGGAGAAACCGAGAGGGGAUAACGGGAGGUUUAAACGGUAAAGUGAGUGUGUUGGGGUGUCUAAGAGGGGCUAGG